GCCGUGGUUGCUUAGUGGCUAUGGUGUUGGCCUGCUAAGCUAAAGGUCGCGGGAUCGAAUCCCGGCCGCGGCA